UAAAGUCAAAACUCGCCAGGAUCUACAGGUUCUCUUCGUCCCCACGUAAAUCUCUCAUGAACAUUCCCUGCAGCUUCUUCGUACAGUACAUCUCGCAAGCUAUAUAUAUUCAUCAUAUCCACGUCUCAUAAACAUUUAAUUUACUAUUGUAUCUUUUGAACUUUUAAUCUUUGAUCUAAGCGCCAUGGCUAAGGAAAGAAUAUCCGACUCUAGACUAAUCUUUGGGCAACGCCAUCUACGCUGUCA
rnacentral:lncRNA from 1 species